GGCCCUUUAGCUCAGUUGGUUAGAGCAGUCGACUCAUAAUCGAUUGGUCGCUGGUUCAGGUCCAGCAAGGGCCACCA
rnacentral:tRNA from 1 species